CUGCAGAGAUAGAGCCAUCAAGAUGGGUCGGCCUACCGCGACCCCCCCCGAUCCACCACAACCCACCUCUAAAUGGGGUGGGGUGGGCUGGCCCGUUUAAUUGGUGGGUUUAGAAAAAUUCCAAUCCAAUCCGAUCUGCCAUGGGCUGCGGGCUAAACAGGCCAACCACCAAAAUUUCAACAAAAAAAAUAAAACAGCAAUACAAACAGAGAAAAUGUAGUACCAAAAAAAGAAAAGAAAUGUAGUAUUAAAACAACAAAAUAAACAGAGGAUGACAAGUAUCCACAUGUUAUUUUUAUGGAUAAAGAAAAUAUAGUGAUCAAGCAUAAUGAAGUACUGGUA
rnacentral:lncRNA from 1 species